rnacentral:rRNA from 1 species
CCUACGGGUGGCAGCAGUGAGGAAUAUUGGUCAAUGGGCUUAAGCCUGAACCAGCCAAGUCGCGUGAGGGAUGACGGCCCUAUGGAUUGUAAACCUCUUUUGUCAGGGAGCAACGCCGGCCACGUGUAGCCGGAAUGAGAGUACCCGAAGAAAAAGCAUCGGCUAACUCCGUGCCAGCAGCCGCGGUAAUACGGAGGAUGCGAGCGUUAUCCGGAUUUAUUGGGUUUAAAGGGUGCGUAGGCGGAAGGUUAAGUCAGCGGUCAAAUGUCGGGGCUCAACACCGGCCUGCCGUUGAAACUGGUCUUCUUGAGUGAGCGAGAAGUAUGCGGAAUGCGCGGUGUAGCGGUGAAAUGCAUAGAUAUCGCGCAGAACUCCGAUUGCGAAGGCAGCAUGCCGGCGCUCAACUGACGCUGAGGCACGAAAGCGUGGGGAUCGAACAGGAUUAGAUACCCCUGUAGUC